GCCAGCAUGGCGCAGUGAUUUGAGUACUGGACUGAGGCUCUGGAGACCAGGGUUCAAUUCUCUGCCAGGCC